GGUAAGGAAGGGGGGGGAGGCGCUGUAAUGCUGCGGGGGAAGUCGGUGUUCGGAGUUAUGGGGCGUAAAGUGCGCUCGGGGGGGACUUUAAGGAUGAUGGGAAAGCCCACGGCUCAACCGGGGAGGGUCAUGGGAAGCUGGGGGACUUGAGUGCAGAAGAGGAAAGCGGAAGUCCACGUGUAGCGGGGAAAUGCGUAGAGAUGUGGAGGAACACCAGUGGCGAAGGCGGCUUUCUGGUCUGUAACUGACGCUGAGGCGCGAAAGCGUGGGGAGCAAACAGGAUUAGAUACCCUGGUAGUC
rnacentral:rRNA from 1 species